rnacentral:lncRNA from 1 species
GCAUCACUUCUGACUGCGUUGGAUCUUCUCGAAGUGCUGCAGGCUGCAUGAUCUCGGGAGGGACAGGCAGAGAAGCUGCCAGUUGAGCUUGGGUCGCUUCCUAUGAAUGAAGUACCAGGUGUCGACGAUUACGCUGAAGGACGCCUCUGGGGGUCUGAACAAUCAUUGAGGUGCACA